GGGAUUACAGGCGUGAGCCACCGCGCCCGGCCCCCUAAGGUCACUUUUAAAGCAAAAUUCCUGACAACGUGGACUUUCCUCUGCCGUAAUGGGUAGAGAGUCUUGGAAAUUGCCCGGAUCCCAGCCUAGUUCCUCUAAUUGGUAUGUUUUCUCAGGGAGUUAUCUGAAGAGUGGAGGUGUUUUGCUUUAAGGGAAAGCCUGGGGAUGGAGGAGCGGGUUGUGUGUAGACAUUUUCAGGUUUGGAAGAUAAGCCAGUGCUACGCGGUUGCCAUAGUAACCUGACGUCAUAUUAGCGACGGUGACGACUUUUUAAUGAGACCAAUUUGGCCUGGGUAGAACAGCAGUGUCUCACCUUCAGGCGUUUGGACUCGGUGGAGGUUGUGAGUGCCCAGCAGUGUGGGCUGAAUCUCCGUGGGGUUUAGGGAGACGAAAGGACCCCAGAUCGACGUCCCCUCGUUCCCACUUUGGAGAUCGGCGCUCUGGCUGUUUCGUGAAAGAGAGAGAGGAACUCAGAGUGGUUUUCCAGAUGGGAAUCACAUUGCUCUCUGUCCCUGAGAUCUUGCUGGAGACAGGGCUACUCAGUCCCUCUUUGCUGGAUAGAUAUUGGAAAAGCAGUUUCCCAUUGAGUCUCAAAUGAAGAGAGAGUGCAGAUUAAGAAGAGGCAGGAGUCACAAGCCCUUGACCCUCAUACCAGACACAUUACUGCUUACAGGACCUUGUGCUGGGAUUUCAUCUGCACCAUCAGCUUCUUCAAAGAGAGAGACGUUGUUGACUCUUCAUGUGGAUGUCUGAGCUCCUAUCAGGUGUCUGAAAGAGGCAGAUUCUGAGGAUUUGGGUCAUGAUGGCUGCCAAAGCUUCUACGCCUGACUUAAAGGGCAACAAUCCUAGGAGACCACCAGCACUUACAUCCCUGGUAGGACAUGACACCUGCUUAUGGCCCAGAAGUGACAAAAGAGAAUUAUCAGGAUGGCAGUCCUUAUAACCAGAUGCUUAUGAACAUUCUUCACUACAUUCUGAAGAUGAAUUUCUACAAGGGAAAUUGUUUAUAUAUCAGGAGAAUCGAAAAUAUGUUGAUGGUGGAAUUGUGUUAACCUCAGAGACCUGGUAAUCCAUAUGACCCCACAGCUAUGCCUCAUAGCCCAAAGGGCAGGAUUUCAUCUCCACCAUCCUCUUCCUCAAUGUGAAGGGCUGUUGAGACUCUGUGUCAAACCAAGGUGUUCCAGGCAAAACGCCAGCUGAGCUCCCAGAAGUUACCAGUACCAGUCAUCAUCCAUGGAGGCAGCAGAUGGCUGAAAUUCUGACGCAAUGUGGCUGGUUAAUGCACGAUCUCAAAACCCCUGCACUGGUGAUUUUGGGACAGAUCUAGAAUAUACCAAUAAAUGUAUUAACAUACCAAGUAGUCCAGGAGCAGCCACUGGGCAAACACCAUACCUUGCAUCCCUGGUGCUGUCUCUGAGCUCAACAGACACAUCUUUGCAGAAGAGUUCUAUAAUGGUGGUACAAUGGCGCCCCCCUCAUGACAGAAGCUUGAACUACAGCUUGGACAUCGUGUGACAUGGUGAAUGAAUUUAUUGAGCCCCAGAAAGAAGGAAUAUUAAAGAAGAGCAAAGAACAAUAGCUGGACAGAAGAUGGGGGUCAUUGAACCUGUAUCCUAGUUGCCAGACCUGUAAAGUGACCACGGGACCUGGAGGAAGCAGCAGAUGACCGAAAACCUGAAGUGAUGUGGCUGAGUACUGCAUGAUCCGAAGACUCUGCACUGGUGACUGCGGCUUUUCAGCCUGUUUAGGAAACAUUGCUGGAGAACUAGUGCAGUGAUUUGGAGGUAAGUAGACCCUCUAGCUUUUGAGUUGCCAGAGUUCUUGCACUGAUUGCUUCUCAUGUGUGUGGGCUUGUGUACCCUUAGCUGUGGUGUAAUUUGAGUGUAGUCAGUUACCUUCAUUUCUCAAUGUUUUCAGAGGGCCAAUGCUUUGGGCAGGGUAUUUAUUGGUAGCUGAAUUAUUGUCCUUGGUUUCACAGGGGAUAUAUUAAAGUAUUUUUUGUGUUGAAGUUUUGGCUGUGAUCCAGUAGAUGGUGCUUAAGCAUGCUGGCUGAUAGGUAGACUCUUGUUCAGUCACAUGACUACUCUGUAUUUGCCCACAUUUGCAGCUGUGCUCUCUCUCUUUCAGUGCUCUGAGAGUGUAGGCUCCUUUCCCACUCAAGGGCUGGCUGCAGAUCUGGGUUUGGCACUCCUGGACUUCAUACUGCAGCCCUGGGGUAAGCUCAGCCUUUAUGUUCCCUCUACAGCGUGGGGGCAAACAGGAACCUUGACAGUGGCAAUGGCAGAGGGCCUUUAACUUGUCUCUUGGGGCUCUAUCUCAGACACAUGCAGAACCGCUCUUAAUCAGAGUGAUUGGCCUGGUGUGGGGUGGUUGCACUGUGGGCUCAAGCCUGGGGGCCUAUGGGGAAAACAGACUGGCCUCUUCUUACAGCAACUGCAGCUUGCUGGAGGUGUGAGUAAGGCACUCAGGGGUCUCUGUUUCUUCCACAGUCCAAGGACAUCGAGGGCAGUACCUUUGCAGUGGCAGUGUCAGAGGGGCUUUCAGUUGUCUCUGGGAGCCCCACCUCACAGAAAUGCAGAGCGUCUGCUAAUGAAAGUGUUCAGCCAGAGGGUGGGGUGGCUGUGCCAUGGGCCUGAGCUGGGGGCCCUUCUUGGUGAAGAGUAAGGGGUCAGGGACUCAAACGAAAGGGAGACUGAGUUCCUCUCCACAUGGUGACUGUGGCAUGCUGGAGACAUGAGUAAUGCCCUCAGGCUCUUUGUUCCUUCCCCAGUCCAAAGACAAGGUCAAAACCACUGCAGUGGCAGUGGUAAAGGGGCUGUCUGUUGCCACUGGGAACUCCACCCCAGGGAAACACAGAGCCACUGCCAGUGGGAAUGCUCAGUUGGGGGUGGUAUAGCUUCCCUGUAGUCCCAAGCCAGGGGCCUUGCCUGUUGAAGAGUAGGGAGUGAGGCCUCACAGGGAAGACAGACUCCAUAUGGUGGCUGUGGUGUGCUGGAGGUGCCAGUAAUGCAACCUGGACCUUUGUUCCUUCCCCAGCCCAAAGGCAUUAAGGGCAGUACCACUGCAGCUGCAAUGAGAGAGGAGCUGUGGGUUGUCUCUGGGAUUUCCUCCCUAGAGAAUGACAGCGCCACCACUGACUUAAACGUUUGGGUGGGGACAAGGUGGUUGUUCUGGGGACCCCAGGUUGAGAGACCCUGCCCACUGAGGAGUAACAGGGCCAGGGCCCAUACGGAAGAGAGUCUGCCUUCUUAUCCAAAAAGCAGCUGCACUGUGCUGGAGGAUUGCAUUAGUCCUAAGUCUUUUGGCUCCCUCCUGAGCCUGAAGAAAAUAGGAGCAGGAGCUGCAGAGCUGCAAAAAUGGCAGACCUGCCUGCUACGAUUGAGAGCUCUGUCCCAGGGAAGUACAGAGCUGCUACUGGUCCAAGAGCCCAAACAUGGGUGGGGUGGCUGGAGUCCCAAGUCUAGAGGCCCUGCCCAGUGAGAGGUUGUGAGGACAGAGAUCUAUGUGAAAAAAAAUCUGGCCACUUUUCUGUAAGACAGCUGUGCUGUGCUGGGGACCUGCAUUAGUCCUUAAUCACCCUGCCAAGAUUGGUGGACCCAUCUGCUACCACUGAGAGCUCCAUUCCAGGGAAGUACAGGGCUGCUAUUGGCCCUAGAGCUCAAGUGAGGCUGGAAUGACCAUGCUAGGGACCAGCCCACUGGGCAUUAUCCACCAAGGUGCAAAGGAGGUGAGGCCUGCAGUCCAUCUGCUCCUCAGCCCCAUGGAUUUAGCCCCUAUACUGGAGGCAUUCCAGGGAGCCUGGUCUUUCUUGUUGCCAGAGCUACAGCCACUGGUGCUGGGGUGCCCAGUAGUCCAAGGGCCCUGGAACUCCGUGUGUGCCUGAGCAGUGGCUCUGCCUAGACUCCCUGUAGCUCUCCAUGCCAGUCUGCAGUCUCUGCUCAGGGGGUCAGGGGGAUAUUCUGAGCACAGAGUUGUGAAGAUCUGUAGCGGAAGCUUUAGCAAAAUUUCAGACAUUAACAACAAAGUUUCCCUGAUUUAUUUAACUUCUCCUAACUUUCUAUACAAUGGGUAUUUAAUUAUAAAUUACUUGAGUAAAGGUUAAGAUUAAUGAAAAUACCACUCAAGUAACUUAUAAUUAAAUGCCCAUUAUCAUCAUCAGCAUCAUCAUCUAAAGGGGUUAUUGAGUAGGCAUCCGUGGGGUGGUGUGAAAUACCAGCCUCUAAGCCUUGGUGGCCCAUUAUCUACAGAAAAGAUCAAUGGGCACAUUAAAUGUUUCCCAACCUUCUUUCAUUAUCCAAAGGAGGCUUAUUAGACAUGUUUUUCCUCCUUAUUAAUCCCUUCUUGCCUGAAAUGUGAAAUUUUAAUACCACAGAUGUAACGUUAACUGUAUGUAUUUUGGUCCUGUGUAGUGCCACAAACCAUUUUAAUGUCUACCAUCUCCCUACCCUUAAAAACCAAUUCUCAGCCCACUGGGGGCAAUAUAUCCUCUGUUGAAAAUGCAUGGAACAUUUUAAUGAGGACAAAAGCUGGAACCUCAUUCCUGCCUUUUACUUGAUGUGUGACACUGGAAAACUUUCUUAACCUCUGUCACCUUGCCCAUGGUCAUCUGGAAAAGGGAACCGCUGAGAGCUCAUGAUGCCUUCCUUACAGAACUGUCCUGUGGGGUAAAGGAGAAAUUCUAUACAGAGAAGAUGGCACCUAGUAGGACUUCAACAAAUGUUCAUCCUGGCCCACUUUUGUUCUCCUUCCCAGAGAAGUGAUGACCGUCAUCUAAAUCAAACAGCGUAACUACCACAGAGAGCAGCUGGUAACGGAGCAGGAAGAAGUAGCAUGUACUUACAUGUAGUUUAUAAACGAAGCUUUGGGGCUAUUUCUGUGAUACAGGAUGGCUUUGCCAAGGAAUGUGGGAAGAGGGAAAAGAUCAUCAAACCAUUUCUUUAAUUCUGUGUCAUGUUUGCCCCCUUAUUUGAGCUUCUAUACUGAUAUUGGAAAAUAGUUUCCUGUGGCGUCUCAAAUGAAGAAAGAGUGCAGAUAAAGAGGAGAGAGAAGUCACAUGCCCUUGACCCUGAUACCAUUACCACUUAUAGGACUCUGACCAGGAUUUCAUCUGCACCAGUGGGUAAUUCAAAGUGGGAGGAGCUGUUGAAUGUGUAUCCAUGAAGGCACAAUACUACAAACGUGUAAUACUACUAGGUUUUCAAUCCUGGAAUGUCAUGGUGUAUAAAAUAAUGAUAAUUAUUGCUUUGGUUUUGAAUUAGGGGAAAAUAUAUCCUUGUAUACUU